rnacentral:rRNA from 1 species
GAUUAAAGGAAGUCCAAAUUAAGCCCAUAAAUUCCGUUCAUGAAAAAAGCAGCUAUUCUCAGUUCAUGCCUUUAAUAAGCCAUUUUCCCGUAGAAGAAAAGGCAGUGCCAGCACCUGCGGUUAAACUGCCUCUACACUUAAUUUACUUUACUUAGCUUGCCCGUAAAUAGCAGUAAAAUGAUCAUUUAAGGGCUAACCUAGAUUAAAAAUUCACGCAAGAAAAGGGAGUAGCACCCCUCUACUACUUUAAAAUUAUAAGGUAGUUAUUCCAAGAUAAAACCUAAUUCUCCUGGCUGUGUUUUUCCUUCAUAGGGAAACUUGUUAUUUGACAGUACACACUAUUAUCUUUAAGUUUUUAGUCUAUGUGUGGCUGUCCUUCUUUCUAUGAAAUGAAAAUCUGGUCAAGUUUCAUGUAAUAAUACUUAUUUCUACAAGUUGCUUUUCAUGGUCAAUAAAAUUAAAAACUUAAGGACUUAUUAGUAAGAUAAAUUUUCUGAACAAGGUAGAAACAACCACAUAUCGUCCGUCGCUCUCUUUCGAGAUAAGUCGUAGCAAAGUAACUGAUGUGGAAACAUCGGUUUCUCUA